UUUGUUUUAGAGCCCAAUAUUUGUCAAAGGAGUUUUAAUUUUUACGCGGUUGUAAUCGGUUUUAAUCCGAUUUUUAAGCGUCUAGUCGGGUAUUAUUAGAUUAACCGGGUUUCCGAUUAAUUCUGGCGACUUGGAUGAAAUCGCGGCGGUUGGGUUCCGCCAAGCGCCUAGUCGGACGACUAAUCGGCUAGGCGGCCGCGUUUUCGAAUGUGAACAAAAACUUUAGUUUAAUUUCUUUGAAUGUGAACAAAAACUUUAGUUUAAUUUCUUAACAUUUUCUCAUGUCUUCUUACAAUAUUAUCUUUUUUUGUAGUUUUUUAAUUCAUGGUUUUGAUCCCCCCUUCUAAAAAAUGUAAGAUUUAGAUCUAUAGAUUUUAAAUGUGUAGUUUAUGUUUAUAUUUAAAUAAAGUUACAGAUUCCAUCUCUAUGUGUUUAAUAUGCUACUAUUUUAUCUUAUAAAUUCUAUUUUUGAAGUUUAUUCAGAUUUAAAGUUGUUUUAAAGUUUUCAAAAUGUACAGAUUUUUUAGAUCUGAAAAUUAUCUAAUACAUUAUACUAACUUCUAAUGAAGUCUGCUUAAAAUUAAUUAAGGCUCGUAUAUUUCAAAUGAAGUCUAGUAAACCAUAAAUUUUAAGCUUAAAAUAUGAUUUUUUUAUUUAAUUUUUGUCUUAUGUUUUUUUUUCCUCAUUAUCUUAGUAUGCAUGUAUUUUCUUUCAAUGUUUUCUUCUCCUCCACCCAAAAUGUAAGAUUUACAUCUAUAGAUUUUAAAUGUGUAUUUUGUGUUUAUAUUCAAAUAAAUUUAUAUAUUUGAACUUCAUGUGUUUACUUUCUUACAGUCUUAUCUCUAUUGAUGAUUUUUUUUUAGAUUUAAGGUUAUUUACAAAUUUUCUAAAUUUACUUAUUUUUCACAGCUGAAAAAUUACGAUAAUGUAGACUUCUAAUAAUUAUGCUUCAAAGUUAAGUCUAGUAUGAAGUCUACUAAACCAUAAAUUUUA
rnacentral:lncRNA from 1 species